UAGGGAAUUUUCGUCAAGUGGGGCAACCCUGAACGAGCAAUGCCGCGUGAGCGAAGAAGGUCUUCGGAUUGUAAAGCUCUGUUGACCGGGGAAAAAGGAAGGAAAGAGGAAAUGUCUUUUCUUUGGAUGGUACCCGGCCAGAAAGUCACGGCUAACUACGUGCC
rnacentral:rRNA from 1 species